UCUUCUCUAUUAUGUCUGUUUAAUAUAUGGAAAUGGAUAUAUGACCAAAUGUCAGCAUCUGAAAAUAUGGGUGCAAGCUUGCAAUCCUGGAUGCAGUAAGAUCUGCAGUGUUCUGCACAAAGGAGAAAAGAACCUGACAUUCUACUUGGCAGCUAUAGGUAAAUCAUCACUUUUGGUAAGCCACACUGUACUCAGCAUCAUUAGUAACUCAUCACUGAUAAUGGUUGUAACACCA
rnacentral:lncRNA from 1 species